rnacentral:lncRNA from 10 species
AUUGUACCAGCUCAAGUUUACUUUCUCAUAUGGACAUUUCACCUGAAAUUGAGUUGAAAAGAUUUAUCCAGUUAGAAUCCCACUUAGACAGCCUGGCAUGGUGGUGCACGCCUGCAGUCCCAGCUUCUCAGAAGGAUGGGGCAGGAGGAUCACUUGACUGCAGUGAGCAAUGAUGGUGCCAUUCCACUCCAGCCUAGGCAACACAGUAAGACCCCACCUAAAAAAAAAAAAAAAAAAAAUCUAAGCAUAGUCAAGACAAUAUUCCACUCUCACAAAAGCUCUCUUUCCCAUCUCCACAAAGCCAUGGAACUAGAACCUAUAUAUAUCCCAUUUGGUGACAAUAUGAUGCCCUGGUUGUCAGGACCUUCUCAAUAAAGGAGAACAAUGGCCAACUAUGCUA